rnacentral:rRNA from 1 species
GACGAACGCUGGCGGCGUGCUUAACACAUGCAAGUCGAACGGAAAGGCCUCUUUCGGGGGGUACUCGAGUGGCGAACGGGUGAGUAACACGUGAGUAACCUGCCCUUGACUUUGGGAUAACUUCAGGAAACUGGGGCUAAUACCGGAUAGGAGCUCCUGCUGCAUGGUGGGGGUUGGAAAGUUUCGGCGGUUGGGGGUGGACUCGCGGCUUAUCAGCUUGUUGGUGGGGUAGUGGCUUACCAAGGCUUUGACGGGUAGCCGGCCUGAGAGGGUGACCGGCCACAUUGGGACUGAGAUACGGCCCAGACGCCUACGGGAGGCAGCAGUGGGGAAUAUUGCACAAUGGGUGGAAGCCUGAUGCAGCAACGCCGUGUGCGGGAUGACGGUCUUCGGGUUGUAAACCGCUUUCGCUCAUGACGAAGCUUUGUGUGACGGUAGUGGGUAAAGAAGCACCGGCUAACUACGUG